CGACAUUGAGGACUCAAAGCUGUCAGCAAAUUCCUUGAGGAAGACAGCUGAAACUAUCAGAAGGCAGAAGGACGUGGGGAAAGUCGCGGGACAAACAUGGCUGGUCAUUCCUGUGAAUCAUAGCCACCAUUCAUGCUCUGUUUUCCUUCACACUUCACAUGCCCGCCCUCCUGCGUCCAUCAUUCCGGAUCUCACUGGAUCACCCAGGCUGGGUUCACUGCUCUCGCCAUCAGGAUAGGACUCAGAUUCUUGCUCCACAACCCAUGACUCACCCCCGACUCUCACUCUGUCUCAAGCUUCAUGUUCAUAGCUCCCAAAGUUAAUUCAUUUGUUGUAAAUAAAGCCUUG